AUGGUGAAGGAGCUCACGGGCGGCUACAAGGUACAGUACCACGCCAACGGCGCCGACAAGCCGCCUAUCGAGAUCGAUUUUACUCCUCCGUUCGCGCGGAUCAACAUGAUCAAGGGACUGGAGGACAUGGCCGAUCUCAACAUACCGGAGGAGGAUCUGUCGACCGAUGAUGCCAACGAGUACUUGAUGGAGGCUUGUGCCAGGUACGACAUUACGUGCCCGCUUUCACACACGACGGCACGGCUGCUGGACACGCUUGUCGGCCACUUCCUGGAGGAGACAUGCGUGAACCCGACGUUCAUCAUCAACCAUCCGGUGAUCAUGAGCCCACUCGCAAAGUCACACAGGGACGAAGCCUGGCCUGGACUGACUGAAAGGUUUGAGCUGUUCAUCAACAAGCAUGAGGUGUGCAACGCCUACACGGAGCUGAAUGACCCCGUCGUGCAGAGGGAGCGGUUUGAGGAGCAGCUCAGGGAUCGUCAGGACGGUGACGAUGAAGCGAUGGCCAUGGACGAAACCUUCUGCACUGCCCUUGAGUAUGGCCUGCCGCCGACCGGAGGCUGGGGUCUGGGGAUUGAUCGCCUCACCAUGUUGCUGACGGAUUCCCAGAACAUAAAGGAGGUCCUCCUGUUCCCGGCCAUGAAGCCUCAAGACAGCUAG
rnacentral:rRNA from 1 species